UGAGGGAUUUUCGGCAAUGGGCGAAAGCCUGACCGAGCGACGCCGCGUGAGCGAAGAAGGCCUUCGGGUCGUAAAGCUCUGUCUAGGGGGACGAGAGAGGACGGUACCCCUGGAGGAAGCCACGGCUAACUACGUGCCAGCAGCCGCGGUAAUACGUAGGUGGCGAGCGUUGUCCGGAAUUACUGGGCGUAAAGGGCGCGCAGGCGGCGCGUUAAGUCCGGGGUGAAAUCCCACGGCUCAACUGUGGGGGGACCUUGGAUACUGGCGUGCUGGAGUGCGGGAGAGGGAAGCGGAAUUCCACGUGUAACGGUGAAAUGUAUAGAUAUGUGGAGGAACACCGGUGGCGAAGGCGGCUUCCUGGACCGUAACUGACGCUGAGGCGCGAAAGCUGGGGGAGCGA
rnacentral:rRNA from 1 species